UGGCUAACUCCUACGGGAGGCAGCAGUGGGGAAUAUUGCACAAUGGGCGGAAGCCUGAUGCAGCGACGCCGCGUGAGGGAUGACGGCCUUCGGGUUGUAAACCUCUUUCAGCAGGGACGAGGCGUAAGUGACGGUACCUGCAGAAGAAGCACCGGCUAACUACGUGCCAGCAGCCGCGGUAAUACGUAGGGUGCGAGCGUUGUCCGGAAUUACUGGGCGUAAAGAGCUCGUAGGCGGUUUGUCACGUCGUCUGUGAAAUCCUAGGGCUUAACCCUGGACGUGCAGGCGAUACGGGCUGACUUGAGUACUACAGGGGAGACUGGAAUUUCUGGUGUAGCGGUGGAAUGCACAGAUAUCAGGGAGAACACCGAUGGCGAAGGCAGGUCUCUGGGUAGUAACUGACGCUGAGGAGCGAAAGCAUGGGUAGCGAACAGGAUUAGAUACCCCGGUAGUCCAGCUGG
rnacentral:rRNA from 1 species